rnacentral:tRNA from 1 species
GUCGGCGUAGUUUAGCCUGGUUAGAGCGCCACGCUCAUAAAGACAAUCUUUGAGCGAUGAGACGAAAGUCAAUGAAGAAAGAUUGUGGUGCACCGUGGAAGUCGGGGGUUCAAAUCCCCUCGCCGACA